ACGGUAGAUUAUCGUUUAUGUUCGCAGCUGUUAAACAGGUUAAUCCUCCCGUGUCAUUGUAAUAAUCAGUUCCUUAUUAUUGUGCCGGAGCGCGGCCGGAGCUCCGGCGGCAGCAGCAUGGAGCUGACGCGGCGGUGAAGCGGCAGCGGGAGCGGUUUCUUGACGCAGACGCGGCACGAUGCUUCCCCGGGGCGCUGAACCUGUUCUAGCCCGCACACAAAGCCUGUAAGGCAGCAGCGGCUACAGCAGCAGCAGGCCUCUCUCUAUCUCUCUCUCCUCCCUCCACACAGAGACGGAGACAUAGACACACAGGGACAGACAAGAGACACUGCUGAUGAUGAUCAAACAUGUCCGGGAAUCUCUACAAGGGAAACGAAGUCAGCUGCUGCAUCAAAUACUUCAUCUUUGGAUUCAACAUCCUGUUCUGGCUAUUGGGCAUGGCCCUAGUUGGAAUUGGACUGUGGGCAUGGAGUGAGAAGGGAGUUCUGUCCAACAUCUCGUCCAUCACAGACCUGGGUGGUCUGGACCCCGUCUGGCUCUUCAUGGUGGUGGGAGGCGUCAUGUUCAUUCUGGGUUUUGCCGGAUGCAUCGGAGCGCUGAGGGAAAACACCUUCCUGCUCAAGUUUUUCUCCGUGUUCCUGGGAAUCAUUUUUUUCUUGGAGCUGACGACGGGAAUCCUGGCGUUCGUCUUCAAGGACUGGAUUAAAGACCAGCUCAACCUGUUCAUCAACAACAACAUUCGCGCGUACCGAGACGACAUCGAUCUGCAGAACCUCAUCGAUUUCACUCAGGAAUAUUGGGAGUGCUGUGGUGCGUUCGGAGCCGAUGACUGGAACCUGAAUAUCUAUUUCAACUGCACUGACGGGAAUCCAAGUCGAGAAAAGUGUGGCGUUCCUUUCUCCUGUUGUACAAAAGACCCAGCGGAGGAUGUAAUAAACACUCAGUGUGGAUACGACAUGCGAGCUAAGCCAGACUCAGAGCAGAAGGACUACAUCAACGUGAAAGGCUGCGUGCCACAAUUUGAGAAGUGGCUGCAGGACAACCUCACCUUAGUGGCCGGGAUCUUCAUCGGAGUCGCUCUACUGCAGAUUUUUGGGAUUUGUUUGGCCCAGAACUUGGUGAGCGACAUUGAGGCUGUGCGAGCAAGCUGGGUCCCCCCUCUUCUUUCCGUGCGUCGACUCCCACCUCAUUCCAGCAAGAAAGCAUCGGCUUACUACUCAUGAAACACAUGCACACACACACAUACACACACGUGCUGUGUGUGUUUGUAGCCGUUUCUUUACCUAAGCAGAGUUUCAGCACAAAAAGUCUUUGAACACAGCGCGGUGAGGAGAACGUCAGACGGCGUCAUUCAUCACCUGCACCAUCAUGGUUUUGUUUUACCGAACCAGCACCUUCUUUGAGGCACUAAUGUGUGAGAAACUGCUCUGUAUAUAAAUAACACUGUAUAUGUGAGCGACUACUGUAAAAUUAAAAAAAAAACACGCACUACACGCAGACCGUCACGCCGUUCCAGUUUUGAUAGCCACUGUUUGUGUAGAGAGUAGGAGGUUUUGAUACGUCUUUUUUUAUAUUAGAUCUGUAUUUUUCACUGUUGGAGUUUGCUGAAUCCACCAUUUCAGACUGUGAAAUAGUGUUUAAGUACAGAAGUUAGGUAAACAGGAUCUAAAAAAAAAUCUCCCCUGUGGCAGAUUCUGCGUUACAAAAGUUUGAAAAAAAAUAAAAUAAAUUACACGACUUUCCCUUGAACACGGAGUCAAAGAAAACAUUAUUAUAGAUGAGUUAGAAAAUGAGCUGCCUACAUUUACAGAAGGGUGUUUUUAAAUUAAAAAAAACACGAUAUAACAACAAAACAAAGAUAAUGUGACUUUGUACAGAGGGAACCAACGACUACUAAUAAGAAGUAACAAUAAACUAAAUAUAAAGUCAAUAUAAAAGAGAGAAUGACAGAAAACCUUUUUAAAAAAGCAGCAGAAAAAAUGUAAGUGGCAGCAAGAAUGUCGUGAACAAGCCAAACGUCUUGAUGUACAAUAGUUUCAAUCACCUAAAAGAAAAUAUGGCAGAUAUUUGGAAAUGCUGACUGAAUUUCCUGACUAAUGGUGAAAAAAAAUAGAAUAUUAUCAAAUUAUAGAAGUAGGGAAAGUUUAGUCAUUGAAAUAAUAAUUCAAUAAAAAGAAGGAUUUGCAAAGGUGGCAAAACUAAAUAAAAGUCAGUCUUUGUUUGGUUAGGGGACGGGGCAUAUUCUUUGCCGACAAAGAGCCUAAACCUCACGAGCAAGCAAAAUGGACUACAUUUUAGUAGAGUUCAUACAGUUCAUAGAGUCUGUACAAAAUAAAGAUCGCACACUUAAUUAGGAAAAGCAGACUGCUAACAGCUAACUCCUUAAAUUGCAACAAAACUGCAGGUUUUACAGGAGAGUAAAGAAUAAUCUUCACGUACAUACAGCUAUGUGUUAUACUCACAACUCGCGAAAAUUUUAAAUGAAUUGACACAAAAAAGUUUUUGUGGUGAAAUGUUUUUACAUGGAAUUAAAGUGUUGUUUUGUAAAUUUUAUACGGCACCCGUAUUCUUACACUUUUAUUGACAAACUCCGAUUCAUAGUCUUAAUUACUAAAUAAAUAUGAAAAGGUCACUGUUGGGUUAUAAUUACCUGUCAUUAUUAUUAUUUAUGACAGGAUUGAAAAAAUAAUCGUUUAUUUAUCUUAAAAAAAUAAGUGUUCAAAUUUAAAACAAAAAUAGUGAUUACGCCCCCUGUCUUCAUACUGUGGUUAUUACAUUUUUUAAAGGUCAUUUUACAAAACAUGUUUUUUUUUUGUCUAAUACCAUGGUUCUCAAACUGUGGUUCUUCCUCUGGUGGAAAGUCAAAAAUACUAUUCUUCUGUAUAUACCAGGGUAUGUGAUCACACUGGAGCUGAGGGAUUUUGACUGGAGUGCAUAGAAAAUAA